rnacentral:RNase_P_RNA from 1 species
UUUCUGAAAUGAAAGUAGUGAUCAUGCUGAGUCUAAUAAACUCAGGCAAAGACGACUAGUGCCACAGAGACGAGAAUUGUGAAACGCGGUAAACUCCAUGAGCU